rnacentral:rRNA from 1 species
GAAAUAAGCUGCUAAUAACCGCAUAAGCGCACGGUUCCGCAUGGAACAGUGUGAAAAACUCCGGUGGUGUGAGAUGGACCCGCGUCUGAUUAGCCAGUUGGCGGGGUAACGGCCCACCAAAGCGACGAUCAGUAGUCGGCCUGAGAGGGUGAACGGCCACAUUGGGACUGAGACACGGCCCAAACUCCUACGGGAGGCAGCAUG